rnacentral:rRNA from 1 species
UACGUAGGGAGCAAGCGUUGUCCGGAAUCAUUGGGCGUAAAGAGCUCGUAGGCGGUUCGGUAAGUCGGGUGUGAAACCUCCAGGCUCAACCUGGAGACGCCACCUGAUACUGCUGUGACUCGAGUCCGGUAGGGGAGCGUGGAAUUCCUGGUGUAGCGGUGAAAUGCGCAGAUAUCAGGAGGAACACCAGCGGCGAAGGCGGCGCUCUGGGCCGGAACUGACGCUGAGGAGCGAAAGCGUGGGUAGCAAACAGG